UCCCCGAUGGUGUAAUGGUAACACACCGGUUUUUGGUGCCGUUAUUUCAGGUUCGAGUCCUGGUCGGGGAACAA
rnacentral:tRNA from 2 species